rnacentral:rRNA from 1 species
GUGAGUAGUUCAGAGUUUGAUCCUGGCUCAGGAUGAACGCUGGCGGCGUGCAUAACACAUUCAAGUCGAACGAGGUAGCAAUACCUAGUGGCGGACGGGUGAGUAACGCGUGAGCAACCUGCCCUUGUGUGGGGGAUACCGUCUGGAAACGGACGUUAAUACCGCAUAACGUUACGGAAUCGCAUGGUUCUGCAACCAAAGAUUUAUUGCGCAAGGAUGGGCUCGCGUUGGAUUAGAUAGUUGGUGAGGUAACGGCCCACCAAGUCUGCGAUCCAUAGCCGGACUGAGAGGUUGAACGGCCACAUUGGAACUGAGAUACGGUCCAG